AACUGGGCAAAGUUUGUUAAAACCAAUUCAGCCCCCCUCUUGGUUGUGAAAUAUUGGUGCAUCAAAUCUAAGACUUCCACUAUCGACAAGAAGAACGAAGCCCUCCGAUUGAGGAAGUUAUUCAAGCUGGUGUCGUUCCACGUUUUGUUGAGUUUCUUUUCAAAGAAGAUUUCCUUCAACUUCAGAAAAAAACAGCAAAAUUGACUCACCAUUUCAUAUUAGUGGAGCAGAACUUGGAAAAAUUCA